rnacentral:misc_RNA from 1 species
CCGUGUCCCGCGCGAACGCAACAACUCCCCGUAGUCUACGGGAUCUCGCCGCCGGGUUUCGGUACCUCCACUCCGGGCGAGGAAGAUUUUCGUUUGCGUUUCGUUAAUUAUUUUUUUUAUUCAUGCUGGCAUUUCUAAUUCAUGCUAAUUUUAUUCAUUCAUUAAUAUACAGAAUUUGAAGCAUAUGGUAACUUUUUUUCGGAGGAAUUGCACCCAACAUCCAUUAUUCAAAAUAGAUAAACCAUUUAACACUACUUUUACGCACUUCAAAAACAUCUUCGAAAAAAGUGUUGUGAAGUAAUAGAAAAGAAGAUCCUUCUGGGCCGAACGCCAUCCCCCGGCGCCGCGCACGCAUGUGGAUGCCCGAGGAAAUAUGCGGUCACGAAAUGACACGAUGCCCAGCGUGAAGAGCCACGUGGGCCGAGAUGAACCAACGUCACUCUCCAUGUUAGACCUCACAUAAACCGAGUUAUACUUCCGUGAUUUUUCCCGAGAAACAGUAGUCGCUAAGAAAAUCAAACAAACAUAUAUUUAGAAAUUAAGGAAAAAAAAGAGAAGUAAAUAAAAGUCCCUAUGGUGCUGAAAGAAGCCUUUAACUGCCGAAUGAAUCUCAUCUGAUCUUUCAAUCACAAGCAAACCACAACACAACUCUGCAACUACGACGAGAUUGCAAGCAGAUUUCCAUGCUAGGAGAUCACCUGUUGUAGGCUGCUCGAGAGGACUUCAACUGCACCAUCAGGAAAAUAUUUAAUUGGCAUGGUGUGGCGGCGCUCGCGGGAAUUAAGAUGACGCCGGGCCUCCUGACGAUGCUCUUCUGUCUGGCCGCCGCAGUGUCUCCCGGCGGAGCGGACGAGGCUGAGUACCGUCUCACUCGAUACCUCAUGAGCAACUAUGACAAGUCGGUGAGACCUUCCUUCAAGGCAGCUGACGCCCUCAAUAUCACCUUCGGGCUUGCGCUCACACAAAUCAUCGAUGUGGACGAAAGAAACCAAAUUCUCACCACAAACUGCUGGCUCAAUCAGAUGUGGCUGGACUACAGCCUGCAGUGGAACGCCUCGGACUUCGGCAACAUCCGCGUCAUCCGGCUCCCCGCGGAGAAGCUCUGGAAACCGGACAUCAUUCUAUAUAACAACGCUGACAGCCAGUACAACACCGCCAUCCUCAGCACCAACAUCAUCGUGACCUCGGACGGGAAUGUGACCUGGCUCUCGUCGGCGAUAUUCAAGUCGUCGUGCUCGAUCAACGUCGAGUUUUUCCCGUUCGACGAGCAGAAAUGCGUCAUGAAGUUCGCCUCUUGGACUUACGACGGCUUUCAGGUGAACCUUGUGAUCCAGACGGAGGAGGGUGACCUGAGCAACUACGUGACCAACGGCGAGUGGGACUUGAUCGACAUGAUCGUGGAGCGGAACGUCGUCUACUACUCGUGCUGUGAGGCGCCCUACCCGGACAUCACGUACCACAUCAUUCUCAGACGCCGCCCGCUCUUCUACGUGUUCAACCUGAUCCUCCCAUGUGUUCUCAUCACGGGCAUCGCACUCAUGAGCUUCUACAUGCCCAGCGACUCGGGCGAGAAGGUGACGCUGGGCAUCACGACGCUGCUGUCCAUGACCGUGUUCCUCAUGGUGAUCGGCGAGUCCAUGCCGCCCACGUCGGAGAAGCUGCCGCUCAUUGGCCUGUACUACGGCGUGACCAUCUCGCUGGUGAGCUUCGCCACGGGGCUCUCGGUCGUGACGCUCAACAUCCACCACCGCGGCAUGCGAGGUCGCGAGGUGCCGGCGUUCGUGAAGAAGGUCGUGUUCAGCUACAUGGCCAAGAUGAUGUGCAUCCGCCUCGACAUCCCCGACCCCAUGGGCGGACAGGGACACAAGUUCGCCUCGAAUCUUAAUCACCAUAGCGAGGGCGUGUUCCGCGAGGGCACCGGCCAGCUGGAGAUGAGCGAGAGGCUGCUCGACCCGGAGGUCAAGUGUGAAAACGGCGGCAUUCCUCCGACCAGAGUGACUGGCGGUCUCCACGGCCAGCACGCCUGCCCGUCCACGCACCCUUGCCUGGACACGUUUGAGCGGCACUUCCUCCGCGUGCUGAACAAAGUGUACCAGACCAUCGAGAAGAACGAGAUACGACUGGCGGAGCAGGAUCGUCGAGAUACCAUCAAGCUCGAAUGGCAACAGGUGGCGCUGGUUGUGGACAGGUUCCUGCUGUGGGUUUUCAUCGUGUCAACCAUCGGCUCCACCUUCGGGAUCCUGUACAAGUCCCCUCACACUAAACUCUUCACUGUCUGAGUCCUCAUUGCAUCCUCGCUUCUCCCCUACAGUUUUCAAUACCGUCAGUAGAUUCCUGCUCUGGAUUUUCAUCAUAGCCACCAUAAGCACCACCUUUGGCAUCAUGUAUAUGUCCCCUCACACCAAGCUCUUUACCAUGUGAGCGGGAAGAGGAAAAGAGGGGACGGGGAAGGGAGGGAAAGGG